CUCACAUAUGUAUUUGAUUUUGGUAUAUAAUUAGUUGAUUUUAUAAAUUUAUGUACUAUAUAAAGAUUUUUAAAUAAUUUAUUUAAUUAAUAUUAAAAUCUGAAACAAUCUAUGUAAAUAUAAUUCGGAAAUAAAAUUAAGUAAUAAUUAAAUUAGUGCCAGCAAUAGCGGUUAAACUAUAAUUAUAAAUUAAUUAUAUAAUAAUAAUAAUUAAUUAAAAAAUAAAUUUUAUAGAAUAAAUUUAUAUAUAUAUAUAUAUUAUUAUACAUAUUUAUAUAAUUUUUUGGUGGAAUAAUAAAAAUUAUAAUGAAAUUAUAAUUUAUAAAUUAAAAUAUUAAAAAUUAUAUUAAUAAACUAGGAUUUGAUACCCUAUUAUCUAUAACUUAAAUUUAAUAUUAAUAAUUAAAUGUAAAUCAUUAAAAUUAAAGAAUAUGGCUGUAUAAUAUUUACUUAGGGAAACUUGUAGAUUAAUUUGAUGAUCCUCGAUAGGAUAAACUUGAAAUAUGUUUUUGUAUUGUUGUUUUAAGAUUUUAUAAUUAAUUAAAGUUAUAAUAUUAUAUUAAUUUUUAAUAAAUAAUAAUUCAAAUCAAAAUUUAAUAUUUUUAAGAUAUUAUGAGUUAUAAUUAAUUAAAUUAUUAGAUAAAUAAAUUUUAAUAUUAUUUUAAAAGAGGAUUUUAUAGUAAUUUAUUUAAAUUAUUUUAAAUGAAUAUGCGUAUAUAUAAGUACAAAUCGCCCGUCAAUUUCAUUAAAAGUGAAGUAAGUCGUAACAUAGUAAUUGUACUGGAAAGUGCAAUUAGUUAAUAAAAUUUUAAAUAUUUAAAUAUAUUUAUUUAAAAUUUUUA
rnacentral:rRNA from 1 species